rnacentral:rRNA from 1 species
UACGAAGGGUGCAAGCGUUGUCCGGAAUUAUUGGGCGUAAAGAGCUCGUAGGCGGUUUGUCGCGUCUGCUGUGAAAACUCGGGGCUUAACCCCGGGCCUGCAGUGGGUACGGGCAGACUAGAGUGCGGUAGGGGAGACUGGAAUUCCUGGUGUAGCGGUGAAAUGCGCAGAUAUCAGGAGGAACACCGGUGGCGAAGGCGGGUCUCUGGGCCGUAACUGACGCUGAGGAGCGAAAGCGUGGGGAGCGAACAGG